rnacentral:rRNA from 1 species
GUCCUUUUGAAUUUAAUUUAAGGUCUGACCUGCCCAGUGAUAAUUUUAACGGCCGCGGUAUACUGACCGUGCAAAGGUAGCAUAAUCAUUAGUCUUUUAAUAGAGGGCUGGAAUGAAAGGUUUAACGAGGAAUUGACUGUCUCAUUUUAUUUGUUUUAAAAUUUAAUUUUUUAGUUAAAAAGCUAAAAUCUUAUUGGAAGACGAGAAGACCCUAUAGAGCUUUACAUAUAAUUAAAUAAAUAUUUUUAUAUUAAUAUCUUUAUUUAAUUUUGUGUUUUGUUGGGGUGACAAAAAUAUAUAAAUAACUUUUUUAUUUAAUUAACAUUGAUUUAUGAAUAUUAGAUCCAUUAUUAUUGAUUAUUAGACUAAGUUACCUUAGGGAUAACAGCGUAAUCCUCCUCCAGAGUUCGUAUUUACAGGAUGGGCUUGCGACCUCGAUGUUGGAUUAAGAUAAUAAUUAGGUGUAGCCGCUUAAUUGAUAGGUCUGUUCGACCUUUAAAUUCUU